GGUGUGUCCUUCACAUCUGUGUCACCGAGGUCCUGGGACAGGCCUGACCAGACAUUAACAGCAAUGAUGACAGCUGCCACUUGGUGGGCACGGGCCCUGUGGCCAAGCAUGCUCGGGGGUGGUGCCCCCAUGACCUCACUGAAUCCUGUUCAUCAAUCCAUUCCAGAUGAGAAGGAAGUAGCCUGAGUCAGAAGAUUUGGUCUCUAGAACCAGACACGCUGUGAGGUGACCCACUAAGUUAUUGACCUUGGGAAGUAAACCACCAUGUAAGAAGUCAGACUACAGACUGCCUGGAGACUGCCGUGUCGUGAGGAAGCCCAAGCUAGCCAUAUGAAGUGACCACAUAGAGAAAGAAAGAGAGAUGUCCAAUGGCCUCUGCUAUCACCACCAUCCCAGCUGAAGCCCAGAUAUGAGUGAAGAAGCCAUCUACGAUGGCCAACCCCAGUGACCAUUCAGGAAACUCCAGCCCUGCCACUACUGACAGCCACUGCAGAUCAGACAGCAAGAGAACUGCCC
ensembl:lncRNA